GAUGAACGCUGGCGGCGUGCCUAAUACAUGCAAGUCGAGCGAACAGACGAGGAGCUUGCUCCUCUGACGUUAGCGGCGGACGGGUGAGUAACACGUGGAUAACCUACCUAUAAGACUGGGAUAACUUCGGGAAACCGGAGCUAAUACCGGAUAAUAUAUUGAACCGCAUGGUUCAAUAGUGAAAGACGGUUUUGCUGUCACUUAUAGGUGGAUCCGCGCCGCAUUAGCUAGUUGGUAAGGUAACAGCUUACCAAGGCAACGAUGCGUAGCCGACCUGAGAGGGUGAUCGGCCACACUGGAACUGAGACACGGUCCAGACUCCUACGGGAGGCAGCAGUAGGGAAUCUUCCGCAAUGGGCGAAAGCCUGACGGGGCAACGCCGCGUGAGUGAUGAAGGUCUUCGGAUCGUAAAACUCUGUUAUUAGGGAAGAACAAAUGUGUAAGUAACUAUGCACGUCUUGACGGUACCUAAUCAGAAAGCCACGGCUAGCUACGUG
rnacentral:rRNA from 1 species